UUUUGUUUUAUUUUCAGGCACUUGAGGGUACUUACCGCUGAUCCAGGAGAGAUUUGGUCCAAUUCGUCCAUUAGCUUCAGGCACUUGAGGGUACUUACCGCUGAUCCAGGAGACAUUUGGUCCAAUUCGUCCAUUAGCUUCAGGCACUUGAGGGUACUUACCGCUGAUCCAGGAGACAUUUGGUCCAAUUCGUCCAUUAGCUUCCAGAUAUUACUUACCAUUUUUCCACAAGGUACAACUUCGUUGGAGUUCAUUUUUGUUAUUUUUUUUAUAAAUAAACAAAAAAAAAUAAAAAAUUGUGAAAAUUUUUCAAUAAA